AGUACAGACGAGUUUGAUCCUGGCUCAGAGCGAACGUUUGCGGCGGGCUUAACACAUGCAAGUCGAACGAGAAUCCCUUCGGGGAGGAAAGUGGCGCACGGGCGCGUAACACGUGGAUAACCAACCCAUUGGUUUGGGACAACACCGGGAAACUGGUGCUAAUACCAGAUGUGUCGCAGCUGUCUUCAGGCGGUUGCGAGAAAGGCCCGCAAGGGUCGCCAACGGACGGGUCCGCGUCCCAUCAGCUAGUUGGUGAGGUAAUGGCUCACCAAGGCGACGAUCCUUAGCUGGUCUGAGAGGAUGAUCAGCCACACUGGGACUGAGACACGGCCCAGACUCCUACGGGAGGCAGCAGUGGGGAAUAUUGGACAAUGGGCGAAAGCCUGAUCCAGCAAUGCCGCGUGAGUGAUGAAGGCCUUAGGGUUGUAAAGCUCUUUACCAGGGAUGAUAAUGACAGUACCUGGAGAAUAAGCUCCGGCUAACUCCGUG
rnacentral:rRNA from 1 species